rnacentral:rRNA from 1 species
CCUACGGGAGGCAGCAGUGAGGAAUAUUGGUCAAUGGGCGCGAGCCUGAACCAGCCAAGUCGCGUGAAGGAUGACUGCCCUACGGGUUGUAAACUUCUUUUAUAAAGGAGUAAAGUGAGGCACGUGUGCCUUUCUGUAUGUACUGUAUGAAUAAGGAUCGGCUAACUCCGUGCCAGCAGCCGCGGUAAUACGGAGGAUCCGAGCGUUAUCCGGAUUUAUUGGGUUUAAAGGGAGCGUAGGUGGGUGGUUAAGUCAGUUGUGAAAGUUUGCGGCUCAACCGUAAAAUUGCAAUUGAUACUGGCAGGCUUGAGAACAGUUGAGGUAGGCGGAAUGUGUGGUGUAGCGGUGAAAUGCUUAGAGAUCACGCAGAACUCCGAUUGCGAAGGCAGCUUACUAAGCUGCUACUGACAUUGAGGCUCGAAAGUGUGGGUAGCAAACAGGAUUAGAUACCCCGGUAGUC